UCGAACGGGCUAGUGCUUCGCACUAGUCUCUUUCUGGGGUUGUUACUCUAAGGCUACCUGCUAAGGUUAUUGCUUUAAAGCAGGGGUUUUAGGAGACUUUCCCCGAAAGGGGCCAGUGCGGAGCACUGGCCAGUGGCGAACGGGUGAGUAACACGUGGGUAAUCUACCCUCGAGUGGGGAAUAAGCUUCCGAAAGGGGGUCUAAUGCCGCAUAACGUUUCAUAACGAUGGUUAUGAAACCAAAGCCCAAAAGGCGCUCGAGGAGGAGCCUGCGUCCUAUCAGCUUGUUGGCAGGGUAAUGGCCUACCAAGGCUAUGACGGGUAGCCGGCCUGAGAGGGUGUCCGGCCACACUGGAACUGAGACACGGUCCAGACUCCUACGGGAGGCAGCAGUGGGGAAUUUUGCGCAAUGGGGGAAACCCUGACGCAGCGACGCCGCGUGGAGGAUGACGGCCUUCGGGUUGUAAACUCCUGUCAGAAGGGACGAAAUCCCGCAAGGGACUGACGGUACCUUCAGAGGAAGCCCCGGCUAACUACGUG
rnacentral:rRNA from 1 species